rnacentral:lncRNA from 1 species
GGCGACGAUAACACACCUCGUUACCUUUGUUGCAAGUACCAGAAGGCCUUGUUCGUGCCUUUCUCGGUCCUCAUGCUCGGGAGAUCUACCAUGUACAAUUUUUGGUAGCAUCAGUGGCACCAUCUAUGGGAACAGCUACCAAAAGCCACGGUGAAUAAAUGAUCAGGUCUUCCUCCAGCAGGCUCAUUCAUUCCAAACCAUCCUCCUGCUGAAGAUCCUCCAACUCCUCAAAAAGAAUCAACAGAAAUUAGUUGUUACCACUAGAGCAUUCAAGGAACAUCAUCAACAACUUAUUAGCUUGACUCAGCUGCUGAACCCAAGCACCACACCUACACCACCGACUCCGACACCAAAAAGCAUAUUCAUGGCCGAUGCCCGAGCUUGAAGUUUCGUUCUUAUUGUUCAUGCUGUUGGGACCUCAAGCAUAUAGCCCACGCCCUUGGCCUCGAGGUUGGUCACUUGAACAUUGUGGAAGGCUAGUCCGCGUGGAAGUACUAGUAGAGCUCGAGCUCAAGCCUAACAGAAAAGCUACCCGUGGAAUGACCACAACCUAAAGCCUUACUGCAAGUAGCUGUCCCUGCCUCCAAGUAUGUAGAUUGCUUAACUUGUGUCCUUUUAGCCUUGUGUGCCCAUAAGCAAUUUAUUUUUA